rnacentral:rRNA from 1 species
AUGACGGUACCCGCAAAAGAAGCCCCGGCUAACUUCGUGCCAGCAGCCGCGGUAAUACGAAGGGGGCUAGCGUUGCUCGGAAUGACUGGGCGUAAAGGGCGCGUAGGCGGUUCGAUUUGUUAGGUGUGAAAUUCCUGGGCUUAACCUGGGGGCUGCACUUAAAACGGUCGGGCUUGAGUUCGGAAGAGGGUCGUGGAAUUUCCAGUGUAGAGGUGAAAUUCGUAGAUAUUGGAAAGAACACCGGUGGCGAAGGCGGCGACCUGGUCCGAUACUGACGCUGAGGCGCGAAAGCGUGGGGAGCAAACAGGAUUAGAUACCCUGGUAGUCCACGCUGUAAACGAUGUGUGCUGGAUGUUGGGUGACCUAGUCACUCAGUGUCGUAGCUAACGCGGUAAGCACACCGCCUG